AACGAACGCUGGCGGCAUGCCUAACACAUGUAAGUCGAACGAGACCUUCGGGUCUAGUUGCGCACGGGUGCGUAACGCGUGGUAACCUGCCCUUAGGUUCGGAAUAACUCCCCGAAAGGGGUGCUAAUACCGGUUAAUGUCUUCGGACCAAAGAUUUAUCGCCUUUGGAUGGGCCCGCGUUGGAUUAGCUAGUUGGUAGGGUAAAAGCCUAUCAAGGCGACGAUCCAUAGCUGGUCUGAGAGGAUGAUCAGCCACACUGGGACUGAGACACGGCCCAGACUCCUACGGGAGGGAGCAGUGGGGAAUAUUGGACAAUGGGCGAAAGCCUGAUCCAGCAAUGCCGCGUGAGUGAUGAAGGCCUUAGGGUUGUAAAGCUCUUUUACCCGGGAUGAUAAUGACAGUACCGGGAGAAUAAGCUCCGGCUAACUCCGUG
rnacentral:rRNA from 1 species